CGGCAGCACGGACUUCGGUCUGGUGGCGAGUGGCGAACGGGUGAGUAAUAUAUCGGAACGUGCCCAGUCGUGGGGGAUAACGUAGCGAAAGUUACGCUAAUACCGCAUACGAUCUAUGGAUGAAAGCGGGGGAUCGCAAGACCUCGCGCGAUUGGAGCGGCCGAUAUCAGAUUAGGUAGUUGGUGGGGUAAAGGCUCACCAAGCCAACGAUCUGUAGCUGGUCUGAGAGGACGACCAGCCACACUGGAACUGAGACACGGUCCAGACUCCUACGGGAGGCAGCAGUGGGGAAUUUUGGACAAUGGACGCAAGUCUGAUCCAGCCAUUCCGCGUGCAGGAUGAAGGCCCUCGGGUUGUAAACUGCUUUUGUACGGAACGAAAAGGUCUCUCUUAAUACGAGGGGCUCAUGACGGUACCGUAAGAAUAAGCACCGGCUAACUACGUGCCAGCAGCCGCGGUAAUACGUAGGGUGCAAGCGUUAAUCGGAAUUACUGGGCGUAAAGCGUGCGCAGGCGGUUAUAUAAGACAGAUGUGAAAUCCCCGGGCUCAACCUGGGAACUGCAUUUGUGACUGUAUAGCUAGAGUACGGUAGAGGGGGAUGGAAUUCCGCGUGUAGCAGUGAAAUGCGUAGAUAUGCGGAGGAACACCGAUGGCGAAGGCAAUCCCCUGGACCUGUACUGACGCUCAUGCACGAAAGCGUGGGGAGCAAACAGGAUUAGAUACCCUGGUAGUCCACGCCCUAAACGAUGUCAACUGGUUGUUGGGUCUUCACUGACUCAG
rnacentral:rRNA from 1 species